UACCUCUUGCCUUGCUCUUGCGCGGUGCCACUAGAAAUAGCCUACCAUCUAAACCAUCUCCCUAAGGCCAGCCGACGAGUAGUUGACGGACUGGUAGUUCUCGAUGAAUGGUCGACUGCUGGUAAAUAAUUGGCUUCUCAUUUCGCCAAUAUGCCAAUCUCGUCAUCCCACCUUCGCCGUUUUCACUGCCAGCAGAGAUACGGUACUGAUGAUAGUGAAGGAGGCGACGACAUGUGCCCGGCCAGUGCUGGCGGUGGCGGUAGCCCAUAAUACAGGUGGGUCGUUCGCCGUUGCCCCUGUUGUUGUUACCGAUGAACGGAGCCAAGAAGCAGCCCAUAAUUUUCUACACAACAGUUAGCCAGAGGACACCGAAGACCUGGCGGAAGGCUCCGCAUCCCCUGUACUGCAACAGAACCUCACUCGCAGCGAUGCAGUUAGAGACAAAUGUGAAAGCAUUGCUACAUGUAUGAAGAGCCGAAACUACCUUUUUCGAAGUACAAAAAGCUAGUUUCAUGUUUCGGCAAACAGACAUGGCGCAUCCUUGUUCGGGUGUCGUGCGCAAGCUCCUUUCUGUACUCAGGGCAGCUCCUAAGCAGCUUGUCUCUGCACAUGAUACAAAACAUUUACAGCCUCCCCCCGCUUUGCCUUUCACGUUCCGUAAUGAAUACAAGUUUUGCUCGUCUUCUGGCCAUGUCCCCAGAACUAAACGCCAGCUCUGAGUUCGUCUGCGAUAGGUCGCGUGAGGUUUUGUCAUCGACGUCGUAGUUAUGGAAAUUUGGAUUUGGUGGAGUGAAGCGUUGCUUAGAAGUCAGCCUAAGAAUAGAAGCACAACGAAAGGUUGUUGAAGGAAAAUAAAUGUUUUAAUUGCAGAGCUGAUUCACAGCACUGAAAGAACACAA